rnacentral:tRNA from 2 species
GCCUUCGUAGACCAACCGGAAGGAGUCACCAGGCCGAGAUCCUGGGCAGUGGGAGUUCGAAUCUCCCCGAAGGCA